UUUAUUUUUUACAAGGUUUUCCCUACUAAAAAAAACUUUUUUACUUAAGUAAAUUCUAUUAAACAUAAAUAAUUUUUAACCGCAAGGGCUUUAUAAAAAAAUCUUAUAGUAAUUUAUAUAUUUGUACCUUUUGCCUCAUGGGGAAACAAGCUUUUAUUUAAAUAAAUUUACUCGAAAACCUUACGAGCUAUUGUUAUUAUUCUAUAAUGUAGCAUAAUUAUAAAUAAAACAACAAUAGAUGUAAAAUUCUCUCGCGUAGGUUGAUAGCUAGUUUUCUAAAAAAUAUAUAUAAGUAUACUUACUUUUUCAGGUAACAUAAUAAUAAAGGGACAAGCUUUUAUUAAUCUUAUGGACUAAAUAUUACUAAGCUAGCACGAAGGAAUAAAAUUUUCCAUCUACAAUAGUUUUAUAACAUACUACAUUAUGUACUAUAAUAAAUUUAAUCAAUCCAUUGAAUUAUUAGAAAAUUUAAUAAAACUAUGCUUUAAAUCUUUUAUGUUUUCAUAAGUAUUUAUAAAACUCAAACUCGAUCAUUAAUUAAAAUAAACUAAAAAAUUUCUUAUAAACCACUCAUAAGGAACUCGGCAAAUAAUUUAGCCUCACCUGUUUAUCAAAAACAUCGCCCAUAGCCUCUAUUACGGGUCAAGCCUGCCCACUGACAAGAUUUUAACGGCCGCAGUACCCUGACUGUGCAAAGGUAGCAUAAUCAUUUGUCUUAUAAUUAAGGACUAGAAUGAAUGGUUUCAUGCAGGCAUAACUGUCUCUUUUGUAUCAUUAAAAAUUAAUUUUUUGGUUAAAAAGCCAACAUACUAUUAUUAGACGAGAAGACCCUAUUGAGCUUAAUUUAUAAAUUUUAACCAUUUAAAAAUAAAAAUUUGGUUGGGGUGACAAAGGAACUAUUUUUACCUUCCUUUUUAAUUUUUAUAAUAAUUUUUACCGCGAUCCAUUUUUAAUGAUCAAAUAAUAAGUUACCAUAGGGAUAACAGCAUAAUUCUUUUUAAGAGCUCACAUCGAAAAAAGAGUUUGUGACCUCGAUGUGACCUCGAUGUUGGACUAGGGUACAUUAAAAGCGCAACCGUUUUUAAUUAUAGUCUGUUCGACUAAUUUUCCUUACAUGAUCUGAGUUCAGACCGGCGAAAGCCAGGUCAGUUUCUAUCUUUUAUAAAAACUAUUUAAAUUAGUACGAAAGGACCAUUUAAAAUAAAAAAUUUAUUCACCUGAUAACAACU
rnacentral:rRNA from 1 species